rnacentral:rRNA from 1 species
UUUGACCUCAAAUCAGGUAGGAUUACCCGCUGAACUUAAGCAUAUCAAUAAGCGGAGGAAAAGAAACUAACAAGGAUUCCCCUAGUAACUGCGAGUGAAGCGGGAAAAGCUCAAAUUUGAAAUCUGGCAGUCACCGCUGUCCGAGUUGUAAUCUAGAGAAGUGCUUUCCGCGUUGGACCGUGUACAAGUCUCUUGGAACAGAGCGUCAUAGAGGGUGAGAAUCCCGUCUUUGACACGGACUACCAGUGCUUUAUGUGAUGCGCUCUCAAAGAGUCGAGUUGUUUGGGAAUGCAGCUCAAAAUGGGUGGUAAAUUCCAUCUAA